ACCCCCCUGGACAGGGGAGGGCCGUGGGGAACCCACCCUGUUCUGGGUCAGAGAGGAAGGCGGCUCACCUCUCAUUCACUUCCAGCUUCACCCCCGAGCUGGCGUGGCGGGCCUGGUUCAUCAUGUCCUACAGCCAACGACAGAGCUGUGAGUGCGGGAGGGUGAGGUGGGGAGAGCUCCCCCCCCUCCCCAAGCCUGUGGUCCUGAGGAACAGAUCAGGGCAGGAAAGCCAGGGCUACCCUCCUACCCUCCCGGCUCUGACCUCAGGGGCCCUGGAAAACGUUUUCUGUCCCCUGCCUGUAGCCCCCAAGGCACUGUGGGAACUGAGGAGUCCCCGCACAACUCUCCUCACCUCGAUCCUUCGCACAGCAUCUUCAAUGGCCGCAGACGUGGCUGCCAUCUCCUUGUCCACCAUGGCCCCCAGCUCCUCCUGCCGCACAUCCAGGCUCUUGGGCUUUAGCUCCUGGGGAAGGCAGGAGUCAGACUGGGUGGGCUCAAUCCCACCAACCCCACAGGGCUUGGGGAGGGGAGGAGUGGUUCCUGCCCAGGGCCCGCCCCACUGCCUGGGAUCUUGUGCCUCACCUGGCCCAGCCGAAGGAUGCCCUGCAGUGGAGCUCGUAACAGGCCCAGCUGUGCCCGCCGCAGAGCCUGCUGGUCCUGCAGCUGCCCCACAAGCUCCAGCGCCCGGGCCCCGCACUCCCUGCAUGUGUCAAUCAGGCCUGAGUAGGAAGAAAGCCCCCUGUGAUGCUGCAGCACAGGCCCCCUUCCCAGGCUGAAAGACCCCUGGGGAGACGAGCCGGUGAGGUGGCUGACCCUGCCGCCCAGGCCCCACUUACGGUCAGCAAGGUCGGUGGGGGCCAGGUGGGAGGUGGCAAUGCCAUUGACGAUGGUGUCCGCAGCCAGGUGGGAAAACCGGGUCAGGGCUGCCACCAGGGAGGAGGCAUCUGUGCAGAAGGACAGCCAUGAGAUGCUAGCACAGGGCCAUGGUCACCAGCAGCCUGCCCUGCCUCAUCCUCUCAGCAAACCCCAGACAAGGACCAGGAAAGAGGGUGCGGCCCAAGGUCAAGCAGCCCCAAGGGCCACAGGAACCAAGCUGGGUUCCGUGGGGCCCCAGCCUGUUUGCCCAUGAGGCCGGCUGGGCUCCUGGGGGGAGGGGCGGAGCCUCUGCUGAGCUGCCUGCUGAGGUUCCUGGUGUGCAGAAAACCUCUGCCAAAGGGACAAGGCAGCCACGAGGGCUGGACCCAGGCCCUAGCCCACCGGCCUGCUGCCCUGCUCCCCCCAAUUCACCUGCCAAGGAGGUGAGGUACUGGGCGUGGCCCUCCUCCAGGGCACUCACGGAGUCCAGGGCAGCCUGGGCCCUGCUCACCAGGUAGUCUGCAAGCAGAGAGAGAAACUGAGGCCCCGGCCGCCGCUUCUCAGUGUUGGGGACGCGAAGGAGGCGUUUGCGGGAUGGCCUCCGCCUCGGCCGCAGCGCCCCUCAGCACUGCAAACUGCUCGUCCAGCAGCUUCUGCCGCAGCCCCUGCUCCUGCAACUCCUGGCAGGAGUGGGGACAGGCGGCUCAGAGAACGCACCCCAAGUCAGGCCCAGCUGAGACCCUCACGGUGGAGACGGCCAAAGAGGGGCGUUACUCCAUCCCCCCAAGGCCUGAGCUGCUGCCUCUCAAGAGCGGGGUGAACAGCUGAGUAAUGAAAAGAUAACCCUGUGAUCUAAACAGACAUUUCCCCAAAGAUGCACCACUGGCCAGGGAGCAGGUGAAGGGGCGCACAUUAGCCCUUAGGGAAAUGCAAAUCGAAACCACUUCACACCCCUUUGGGAUGGCCAAAAUAAAGGCAGACAAUGCUAAGUGUU